UACGGGGGGGGCAAGCGUUGUUCGGAAUUACUGGGCGUAAAGGGCUCGUAGGUGGCCAACUAAGUCAGACGUGAAAUCCCUCGGCUUAACCGGGGAACUGCGUCUGAUACUGGGUGGCUUGAAUCCGGGAGAGGGAUGCGGAAUUCCAGGUGUAGCGGUGAAAUGCGUAGAUAUCUGGAGGAACACCGGUGGCGAAGGCGGCAUCCUGGACCGGCAUUGACGCUGAGGCGCGAAAGCCAGGGGAGCAAACGGG
rnacentral:rRNA from 1 species